rnacentral:rRNA from 1 species
GGCCUAACACAUGCAAGUCGAACGGUAACAGGAAGCAGCUUGCUGCUUUGCUGACGAGUGGCGGACGGGUGAGUAAUGUCUGGGAAACUGCCUGAUGGAGGGGGAUAACUACUGGAAACGGUGGCUAAUACCGCAUAACGUCGCAAGACCAAAGAGGGGGACCUUCGGGCCUCUUGCCAUCAGAUGUGCCCAGAUGGGAUUAGCUUGUUGGUGAGGUAACGGCUCACCAAGGCGACGAUCCCUAGCUGGUCUGAGAGGAUGACCAGCCACACUGGAACUGAGACACGGUCCAGACUCCUACGGGAGGCAGCAGUGGGGAAUAUUGCACAAUGGGCGCAAGCCUGAUGCAGCCAUGCCGCGUGUAUGAAGAAGGCCUUCGGGUUGUAAAGUACUUUCAGCGGGGAGGAAGGUGUUGUGGUUAAUAACCGCAGCAAUUGACGUUACCCGCAGAAGAAGCACCGGCUAACUCCGUGCCAGCAGCCGCGGUAAUACGGAGGGUGCAAGCGUUAAUCGGAAUUACUGGGCGUAAAGCGCACGCAGGCGGUCUGUCAAGUCGGAUGUGAAAUCCCCGGGCUCAACCUGGGAACUGCAUUCGAAACUGGCAGGCUUGAGUCUUGUAGAGGGGGGUAGAAUUCCAGGUGUAGCGGUGAAAUGCGUAGAGAUCUGGAGGAAUACCGGUGGCGAAGGCGGCCCCCUGGACAAAGACUGACGCUCAGGUGCGAAAGCGUGGGGAGCAAACAGGAUUAGAUACCCUGGUAGUCCACGCCGUAAACGAUGUCUACUUGGAGGUUGUGCCCUUGAGGCGUGGCUUCCGGAGCUAACGCGUUAAGUAGACCGCCUGGGGAGUACGGCCGCAAGGUUAAAACUCAAAUGAAUUGACGGGGGCCCGCACAAGCGGUGGAGCAUGUGGUUUAAUUCGAUGCAACGCGAAGAACCUUACCUGGUCUUGACAUCCACAGAAGAAUCCAGAGAUGGAUUUGUGCCUUCGGGAACUGUGAGACAGGUGCUGCAUGGCUGUCGUCAGCUCGUGUUGUGAAAUGUUGGGUUAAGUCCCGCAACGAGCGCAACCCUUAUCCUUUGUUGCCAGCGGUUAGGCCGGGAACUCAAAGGAGACUGCCAGUGAUAAACUGGAGGAAGGUGGGGAUGACGUCAAGUCAUCAUGGCCCUUACGACCAGGGCUACACACGUGCUACAAUGGCGCAUACAAAGAGAAGCGACCUCGCGAGAGCAAGCGGACCUCAUAAAGUGCGUCGUAGUCCGGAUUGGAGUCUGCAACUCGACUCCAUGAAGUCGGAAUCGCUAGUAAUCGUGGAUCAGAAUGCCACGGUGAAUACGUUCCCGGGCCUUGUACACACCGCCCGUCACACCAUGGGAGUGGGUUGCAAAAGAAGUAGGUAGCUUAACCUUCGGGAGGGCGCUUACCACUUUGUGAUUCAUGACUGGGGUGAAGUCGUAACAAGGUAACCGUAGGGGAACCUGCGGUUGGAUCACCUCCUUACCUUAAAGAAGC